UACGAAGGUGGCAAGCGUUGUUCGGAUUUACUGGGCGUAAAGGGAGCGUAGGUGGUUAGGUAAGCCCUCCGGGAAAUCUUCAGGCUUAACCUGAAAAGGUCGGGGGGGACUGCCUAGCUAGAGGGCGGGAGAGGAGCGCGGAAUUCCCGGUGGAGCGGUGAAAUGCGUAGAGAUCGGGAAGAACGCCAAGGGCGAAGGCACUCUGCUAGGCCUGAUUUCGCGACUGACACUCAGGGACGAGAGCCAGGGGAGCGAAUGGG
rnacentral:rRNA from 1 species